rnacentral:rRNA from 1 species
AGUGAACGCUGGCGGCAGGCCUAAUACAUGCAAGUCGAACGGCAGCACAGCAGAGCUUGCUCUGUGGGUGGCGAGUGGCGGACGGGUGAGGAAUCCAUGGGAAUCUGCCCAGUCGUGGGGAUAACGUAGGGAAACUUACGCUAAUACCGCAUGCGCCCUUCGGGGAAAGCCGGGGACCUUCGGGCCUGGCGCGAUUGGAUGAGCCCAUGUCGGAUUAGCUAGUUGGCGGGGUAAUGGCCCACCAAGGCGACGAUCCGUAGCUGGUCUGAGAGGAUGAUCAGCCACACUGGAACUGAG